rnacentral:rRNA from 1 species
GACGGGGGGGGCAAGUGUUCUUCGGAAUGACUGGGCGUAAAGGGCACGUAGGCGGUGAGUCGGGUUGAAAGUGAAAGUCGCCAAAAAGUGGCGGAAUGCUCUCGAAACCAAUUCACUUGAGUGAGACAGAGGAGAGUGGAAUUUCGUGUGUAGGGGUGAAAUCCGUAAAUAUAUGGAAGAACAUCAAUAACGGCGAAGGCAGUUAACUAUUCUGUUACUGACGUUGAGGCACGAAAGCGUGGGGAGCAAAAAGG